AGCAGCAGUAGCAACACCAACAAAUCUUAAUACGCUUCUUUCUUCUCUUCUUUUCUCUUUUCUUUUCUUUUCUUUUCGGAAUUGAUUUUUUUUAUUAUUUGAGUGAUUGU
rnacentral:ribozyme from 14 species